rnacentral:rRNA from 1 species
GACGAACGCUGGCGGCGUGCUUAACACAUGCAAGUCGAACGGAAAGGCCCUGCUUGCAGGGUACUCGAGUGGCGAACGGGUGAGUAACACGUGGGUGUUCUGCCCUGCACUUCGGGAUAAGCCUGGGAAACUGGGUCUAAUACCGGAUAGGAGCCAUUUUUAGUGUGAUGGUUGGAAAGUUUUUUCGGUGUAGGAUGAGCUCGCGGCCUAUCAGCUUGUUGGUGGGGUAAUGGCCUACCAAGGCGGCGACGGGUAGCCGGCCUGAGAGGGUGGACGGCCACAUUGGGACUGGGAUACGGCCCAGGCUCCUACGGGAGGCAGAAGUGGGGAAUAUUGCACAAUGGGCGCAAGCCUGAUGCAGCGACGCCGCGUGGGGGAUGACGGCCUUCGGGUUGGAAACUCCUUUCGCUAGGGACGAAGCUUUUUGUGACGGUACCUAGAUAAGAAGCACCGGCUAACUACGUG